AGCAGUCGCCGCGGUAACACGUAGGUGGCAAGCGUUGUCCGGAAUUAUUGGGCGUAAAGGGCUCGCAGGCGGUUUCUUAAGUCUGAUGUGAAAGCCCCCGGCUCAACCGGGGGGGGUCAUUGGAAACUGGGAAACUUGAGUGCAGAAGAGGAGAGUGGAGUUCCACGUGUAGCGGUGAAAUGCGUAGAGAUGUGGAGGAACACCAGUGGCGAAGGCGACUCUCUGGUCUGUAACUGACGCUGAGGAGCGAAAGCGUGGGGAGCGAACAGGAUUAGAUACCCCAGUAGUCCCUGUCUCUUAUAC
rnacentral:rRNA from 1 species